rnacentral:rRNA from 1 species
CAGUCGCCGGGUAAUACGAAGGGGGCUAGCGUUGUUCGGAAUUACUGGGCGUAAAGCGCACGUAGGCGGAUAUUUAAGUCGGGGGUGAAAUCCCAGAGCUCAACUCUGGAACUGCCUUUGAUACUGGGUAUCUUGAGUAUGGAAGAGGUGAGUGGAAUUCCGAGUGUAGAGGUGAAAUUCGUAGAUAUUCGGAGGAACACCAGUGGCGAAGGCGGCUCACUGGUCCAUUACUGACGCUGAGGUGCGAAAGCGUGGGGAGCAAACAGGAUUAGAUACCCCUGUAGUCCCUGUCUCUUAUACA